rnacentral:rRNA from 1 species
AGCGAACGCUGGCGGCAGGCCUAACACAUGCAAGUCGAACGAACUCUUCGGAGUUAGUGGCGGACGGGUGAGUAACACGUGGGAACGUGCCUUUUGGUUCGGAAUAACUCAGGGAAACUUGUGCUAAUACCGAAUGUGCCCUUCUGGGGAAAGAUUUAUCGCCAUUAGAGCGGCCCGCGUCCUAUUAGCUAGUUGGUGAGGUAACGGCGCACCAAGGCGACGAUCAGUAGCUGGUCUGAGAGGAUGACCAGCCACACUGGGACUGAGACACGGCCCAGACUCCUACGGGAGGCAGCAGUGGGGAAUCUUGCGAAAUGGGGGAAAGCCUGAAGCAGCCAUGGCGCGUGAAUGAUGAAGGUCGUAGGAUUGUAAAAUUCUUUAACCGGGGACGAUAAUGACGGUACCCGGAGAAGAAGCCCCGGCUAACUUCGCG